ACAGGGAUUGCCUCAGUAACGGCGAGUGAAGCGGCAACAGCUCAAAUUUGAAACCUGCCUCCAGGCCGGAUUGUAAUUUGUAGAGGAUGUUUUGGGGUAGGCACUGAUCUAAGUUUCUUGGAACAGUACGUCACAGAGGGUGAGAAUCCCGUUCGUGGUCGGUUGCCUGCUCCGUGUAAAACUCCUUCGACGAGUCGAGUUGUUUGGGAAUGCAGCUCAAAAUGGGUGGUAAAUUUCAUCUAAAGCUAAAUAUUGGCCAGAGACCGAUAGCGCACAAGUAGAGUGAUCGAAAGAUGAAAAGCACUUUGGAAAGAGAGUUAAACAGCACGUGAAAUUGUUGAAAGGGAAGCGCUUGCAAUCAGACUUGCGCGUAGGUAAUCAAGGAUGGUUCGCUAUCCUGCACUUGCCUGCGCUCAGGCCAGCAUCAGUUCUGGGGGUGGGAGAAAGGCCGUUGGAAUGUGGCUCUUCGGAGUGUUAUAGCCUUCGGUGCCAUGCUGCCUCCCGGGACUGAGGACCGCGCUUCGGCUAGGAUGCUGGCGUAAUGAUUGUAAGCGACCCGUCUUGAAACACGGACCAAGGAGUCUAACAUCUAUGCGAGUGUUUGGGUGUCAAACCCACACGCGGAAUGAAAGUGAACGGAGGUGAGAACCCUUGAGGGUGCAUCAUCGACCGAUCCUGAUGUCUUCGGAUGGAUUUGAGUAUGAGCAUAGCUGUUGGGACCCGAAAGAUGGUGAACUAUGCCUGAAUAGGGUGAAGCCAGAGGAAACUCUGGUGGAGGCUCGCAGCGGUUCUGACGUGCAAAUCGAUCGUCAAAUUUGGGCAUAGGGGCGAAAGACUAAUCGAACCA
rnacentral:rRNA from 1 species